rnacentral:rRNA from 1 species
CGGUUAAGUUAGAAAGGGCGCACGGUGGAUGCCUUGGCACUAGGAGCCGAUGAAGGACGGGACGAACACCGAUAUGCUUCGGGGAGCUGUAAGCAAGCUUUGAUCCGGAGAUUUCCGAAUGGGGAAACCCACUGCUCGUAAUGGAGCAGUAUCCAUAUCUGAAUUCAUAGGAUAUGAGAAGGCAGACCCGGGGAACUGAAACAUCUAAGUACCCGGAGGAAGAGAAAGCAAAUGCGAUUCCCUGAGUAGCGGCGAGCGAAACGGGAACAGCCCAAACCAAGAGGCUUGCCUCUUGGGGUUGUAGGACACUCU